AGAGUUUGAUCAUGGCUCAGGAUGAACGCUAGCGGGAGGCUUAACACAUGCAAGCCGAGGGGUAUAUAGUUUUCGGAUUAUAGAGACCGGCGCACGGGUGCGUAACGCGUAUGUAACUUGCCCUAUUGAGAGGGAUAGCCCAGAGAAAUUUGGAUUAAUACCUCAUAAUACUGGAUAUGGCAUCAUAAUCAGUUGAAAGAUUUAUCGCAAUAGGAUAGACAUGCGUAUGAUUAGUUAGUUGGUGAGGUAACGGCUCACCAAGACGAUGAUCAUUAGGGGGCCUGAGAGGGUGAACCCCCACACUGGUACUGAGACACGGACCAGACUCCUACGGGAGGCAGCAGUGAGGAAUAUUGGACAAUGGGUGAGAGCCUGAUCCAGCCAUCCCGCGUGCAGGAAGACGGCCCUAUGGGUUGUAAACUGCUUUUCUACGAGAAUAAACCACCUUACGUGUAGGGUGUUGAAGGUACCGUAGGAAUAAGCACCGGCUAACUCCGUGCCAGCCGCCGCGGUAAUUC
rnacentral:rRNA from 1 species